rnacentral:rRNA from 1 species
GAUGAACGCUGGCGGCGUGCCUAAUACAUGCCAGUCGAGCGAACAGAUGAGGAGCUUGCUCCUCUGACGUUAGCGGCGGACGGGUGAGUAACACGUGGAUAACCUACCUAUAAGACUGGGAAAAUUACGGAAAUCGGGAGCAAAUCCCGUAUAAAAUAUUGAACCGUAGGGUUCAUUGGUAAAAGACGUUUUUCCGGUCACUAAUGGAGGGUUCCGCGCCGCAUUAGCUAGUUGGUAAGUUAACGGCUUACCAAGGCAAGGAUGCGUGGCCGACCUGAGAGGGUGAUCGGCCACACUGGAACUGAGACACGGUCCAGACUCCUACGGGAGGCAGCAGUAGGGAAUCUGCCGCAAUGGGCGAAAGCCUGACGGAGCAACGCCGCGUGAGUGAUGAAGGUCUUCGGAUCGUAAAACUCUGUUAUUAGGGAAGAACAAAUGUGUAAGUAACUAUGCACGUCUUGACGGUACCUAAUCAGAAAGCCACGGCUAACUACGUG